AGCAGUCGCCACGGUAAUACGGAGGGUGCAAGCGUUAAUCGGAAUUACUGGGCGUAAAGCGCACGCAGGCGGUCUGACAAGUCAGAUGUGAAAUCCCCGGGCUUAACCUGGGAACUGCAUUUGAAACUGUCAGGCUGGAGUCUUGUAGAGGGGGGUGGAAUUCCAGGUGUAGCGGUGAAAUGCGUAGAGAUCUGGAGGAAUACCGGUGGCGAAGGCGGCCCCCUGGACAAAGACUGACGCUCAGGUGCGAAAGCGUGGGGAGCAAACAGGAUUAGAUACCCCUGUAGUCCCUGUCUCUUAUAA
rnacentral:rRNA from 1 species